rnacentral:rRNA from 1 species
AUCAGCCUUUCGGGUGCGAUUCUGUGGGGUUUGAGGAGCUUAACACCUUCAUGCUUUGCAUAUUCGUGCUCUUGGGUGUACUUGCCCGUGUGGUUGGUUAACAUCAAUUUUGGUGGUCAUAAAAUGACUGGAGGAAUGUAGCUUCGAUCUUGUAUUGAAGUGUUAUAGCCUUCGGUAGAUGUGAUGAUCGAGAUUGAGGAUUGCAACGGAUACCCUUCGGGGCUACCUGUCUGAUCUCUGAUCGUUGUUCUGGUGCCGAAAGCUUGCUUACGGUUAUCAAAGUCGAUGGUUAAUAGGUUAGAACGGGUUAAAUUCGUUAAGGAUGUUGACGUAAUGGCUUU